rnacentral:rRNA from 1 species
CAGCCGCCGCGGUAAUACCGGCGGCCCGAGUGGCGGUCACUAUUAUUGGGCUUAAAGCGUCCGUAGCCGGGUUGGGAAGUCCUCCGGGAAAUCUGGCCGCUUAACGGUCAGAAUGCCGGAGGAUACUCCCAGCCUAGGGAGCGGGAGAGGCCGAGGGGAUUCCCGGGGUAGGGGUGAAAACCUAUAAUCCCGGGAGGACCACCUGUGGCGAAGGCGCUCGGCUGGAACGCGUCCGACGGUGAGGGACGAAGGCCAGGGGAGCAAACCGGAUUAGAUACCCGGGUAGUCCUGGCUGUAAACGAUGCGGACUUUGUGUCGGACAAGCUAUGAGCUUGUCCGGUGCCGGAGGGAAACCGUUAAGUCCGCCGCCUGGGGAGUACGGCCGCAAGGCUGAAACUUAAAGGAAUUGGCGGG